rnacentral:rRNA from 1 species
GAUGAACGCUGGCGGCGUGCCUAAUACAUGCCAGUCGAGCGAACAGACGAGGAGCUUGCUCCUCUGACGUUAGCGGCGGACGGGUGAGUAACACGUGGAUAACCUACCUAUAAGACUGGGAUAACUUCGGGAAACCGGAGCUAAUACCGGAUAAUAUAUUGAACCGCAUGGUUCAAUAGUGAAAGACGGUUUUGCUGUCACUUAUAGAUGGAUCCGCGCCGCAUUAGCUAGUUGGUAAGGUAACGGCUUACCAAGGCAACGAUGCGUAGCCGACCUGAGAGGGUGAUCGGCCAAACUGGAACUGAGACACGGUCCAGACUCCUACGGGAGGCAGCAGUAGGGAAUCUUCCGCAAUGGGCGAAAGCUUGACGGAGCAACGCCGCGUGAGUGAUGAAGGUCUUCGGAUCGUAAAACUCUGUUAUUAGGGAAGAAAAAAUGUGUAAGUAACUAUGCACGUCUUGACGGUACCUAAUCAGAAAGCCACGGCUAACUACGUG